rnacentral:rRNA from 1 species
CCUACGGGGGGCUGCAGUGGGGAAUAUUGGACAAUGGGGGCAACCCUGAUCCAGCCAUGCCGCGUGUGUGAAGAAGGCCCUCGGGUUGUAAAGCACUUUCAGUGAGGAAGAACGCCUGGUGGUUAAUACCCAUCAGGAAAGACAUCACUCACAGAAGAAGCACCGGCUAACUCCGUGCCAGCAGCCGCGGUAAUACGGAGGGUGCGAGCGUUAAUCGGAAUUACUGGGCGUAAAGCGCGCGUAGGUGGCUUGAUAAGCCGGUUGUGAAAGCCCCGGGCUCAACCUGGGAACGGCAUCCGGAACUGUCAAGCUAGAGUGCAGGAGAGGAAGGUAGAAUUCCCGGUGUAGCGGUGAAAUGCGUAGAGAUCGGGAGGAAUACCAGUGGCGAAGGCGGCCUUCUGGACUGACACUGACACUGAGGUGCGAAAGCGUGGGUAGCAAACAGGAUUAGAUACCCUGUAGUC